CAGCCGCCGCGGUAAAACGAAGGGUGCAAGCGUUACUCGGAAUUACUGGGCGUAAAGCGUGCGUAGGUGGUGGUUUAAGUCCGUUGUGAAAGCCCUGGGCUCAACCUGGGAAUUGCAGUGGAUACUGGGUCACUAGAGUGUGGUAGAGGAUAGUGGAAUUUCCGGUGUAGCAGUGAAAUGCGUAGAGAUCGGAAGGAACAUCUGUGGCGAAGGCGACUAUCUGGGCCAACACUGACACUGAGGCACGAAAGCGUGGGGAGCAAACAGGAUUAGAUACCCUUGUAGUCCCUGUCUCUUAUAC
rnacentral:rRNA from 1 species